GCCUAAAGCGUCCGUAGCCGGCUCUGUAAGUUUUCGGUUAAAUCUGUACGCUCAACGUACAGGCUGCUGGGAAUACUGCAGAGCUAGGGAGUGGGAGAGGUAGACGGUACUCGGGAGGAAGUGGUAAAAUGCUUUGAUCUCUCGAUGACCACCUGUGGCGAAGGCGGUCUACCAGAACACGUCCGACGGUGAGGGAUGAAAGCUGGGGGAGCAAACCGGAUUAGAUACCCGGGUAGUCCCAGCUGUAAACUAUGCAAACUCAGUGAUGCGUUGGCUUAUGGCCAGCGCAGUGUUGCAGGGAAGCCGUUAAGUUUGCCGCCUGGGAAGUACGUACGCAAGUAUGAAACUUAAAGGAAUUGGCGGGGGAGCACCACAAGGGGUGAAGCCUGCGGUUCAAUUGGAGUCAACGCCAGAAAUCUUACCCGAAGAGACAGCAGAAUGAAGGUCAAGCUGGAGACUUUACCAGACAAGCUGAGAAGUGGUGCAUGGCCGUCGCCAGCUCGUGCCGUGAGAUGUCCUGUUAAGUCAGGUAACGAGCGAGAUCCCUGCCUCUAGUUGCCACCAUUACUCUCAGGAGUAGUGGGGCGAAUUAGCGGGACCGCCGCAGUUAAUGCGGAGGAAGGAAGGGGCCACGGCAGGUCAGUAUGCCCCGAA
rnacentral:rRNA from 1 species